GAUACAUAACGACGUCGGCGAAGUAAAAAAUGUUUCCUAUGAAACUCCACUAUGUAUUUCAAAAAUUUUUUAAAUUAGUCCUAGUGCAAGGUUUUGACAAUCACUUUACAAACAAAUGUCUUUUUUAAUAAAAUUGCGUUUGUAAAAUCUAUCUGCCACUGUAACUGCAGCAUUGCGCACAGCAAUCGUGGACACGUAAAAAUCGAUCAAUCAAAUCUUAUCGAUGUUUUACUCAUAUAUACGCUUACGCCAGCAGUAUGGUAUCAUGUAUUACGAAAAGGUAACGUACUAUUUUUAAGUUCCAUUUUUACUGAUCAUGAUGCGAGAAUUCUUGCAACAUGAUCCGUAAUCAAGAUAGAACCGCUUGGACCCUUUUAAGUACUUAUAACACCUUCAUCCUUUUUUGACUAUAUCCAUUUUAUAAGCUUAUACGUUUUGGUGCAACAGAGGGCAGGUCAUGCCACGGACUUAAGCUGGAGGUUGGCAAUAUCCUUAAAAAAAGCAUAACAAUAUUUUUUUCAAGAUGAGAUCAAUUGCUGAGUUCCAAUCCGAAGCUCCACCAACAAUAAUUUGCUUAUCCGGCGCCAUUGCAGUGCAUAUUCUUUCCUUCUCAUUCCGUGUGUGCGGUCUCACUGAAGCAAGUUGUAGAGAAUUGUGAGUUUUGUAUGUAAAAAAGUCGCUGAAGCGGUAUCCCCCUCUGUGUAAGUAGGCUAUUACCAAAGAAGCUGAAUCAAAAAAAGCUGAGAAACGGAAUACCAUGUGAAAAAUUGGUUUUAUAGCAAUGAAAACACUUUCUAAAAGUGGACUUUCAAAAAAAUUGGACAUAUUCAAUAAGUGCCAAAUAGGUUAAGAAUAGUCUUGUACUAUUCAAACGGAAUUUUUACGACCUUUCCGUUAAUGACAAAAUGUACUUGAAGUAAGUUAAAAUUAAGAGUAUAUUUAACUUUUGUUUCGUAAAAAUUCUUAUGCCGACUAGUAUACUUAACAUUUCUUGUGCUUUUACGCCUUUAACCCUUUAGUUGUUUGUCAAAUUCCUUGCAAAAAAAUCAAAUUCAGAAAUUUCGGUAAAGAAUAAAUCGGCAUCGAAACUGAGAGACUUGAGUGCGAGAAAGGAAACGCUUUAAAUUUUGUUAAUUUAUCUUUUUUUACCGCCACUCACAUAAAAAUUUUUUUAGAUUACAUUUUCCUUUUAAUAAUUUAGUAAUUUAGGUUACUACAAUUGACUUACUUGGGCAUAUUUUUAUACCCGUUACUCUUAGAGUGAAAGGUAAAGUAUGUAACAGGUAGAAGGGAGCGAUUCCUUGAUCAGGGGAUCACUAGCCGAGUCGAUCUAGUCAUCUCCGUCUGUUUCUAUGAACGCUAUGAUCUUGGAAACUAUAAGAGCUAGAAUGUUGGGACUUGGCAUGCAGAGCGAGUUUGUUUCAGCAGGGUGCCAUGGCCAUGCCAAAAAUGAUUGAAAUCGGAAAAAAGUUAUAACCAAACAAUAAUUAAUAAUGGAUGAAGGUUUUACGUUACGUGGCGUUUUAGUGAUAUCUUGUAAACAGCCGCUAGGAAUGAACGAUAGGUGGCGCUUUUUUUUUAGCUGUGUAACACGUACCUGAGUUUCACUAGUCAAAAAUCACAUUCAUAAUCAUACUCAUAGUUCAGUCGUUUAAGAUUGAACUCCAAUACCUUAAAAUUGUUUGAUAACUUGAAGAUGCUAUCACCGCUCUCGUGCUCUUGCCCAGGUAGGGCUGGCUACACCUUCCACACGGGGUUGAGUGGGAUAGGCACGGUCCGCACUGCACUACUACUACUACAUACAAAGUUAAGCUACUCUAGUGCAGACAGCAACUAAGAAAUUAUUAAAUGUAUAUUAACUUCUGUACAUAUUAUUAUUAUUUGGAAAUCCAAAGUCUAUAUAGCCCAGGACCGUAUCACUCAAAAACAUAUGCAAGAAAUGUAUACAUAAAACUUAACCAAAAAAGACUAAAAAAAUAAGCAUACAAUCCAACAAGGCACUUGUUCUGAAACAGUUAUAGUUCCUUUUAAAAACACUACCAUAAAAAAAAAUUUGAUACGAAAAACGACUUUGUAAAUAGACUUUUUAACAUGUUUCUAUUUGGCCCACUGCAUUGCAAAAUCUGACCAUCUUUUCGUGCAUCAUGCCGAAACAUCCUUAAAACGGUUUUUAUUUAAUCGAAUGUAUAAGAAAUUAUUUUCAGAAAUGUGA